AAUAUUGCGCAAUGGAGGGAACUCUGACGCAGCGACGCCGCGUGAGCGAAGAAGGCCNNNGGGUCNUCAAGCUCUGUCUAGAGNGAUNAUAGUGACAGUACCUCUGGAGGAAGCCCCGGCUAACUACGUGCCAGCAGCCGCGGUAAUACGUAGGGGGCAAGCGUUGUCCGGAUUUACUGGGCGUAAAGGGCGCGUAGGCGGUAGAUUAAGUCAGAUGUGAAAGUCCAGGGCUCAACCCUGGAAUUGCAUUUGAAACUGGUUUACUUGAGUGCAGGAGAGGAAAGUGGAAUUCCUAGUGUAGCGGUGAAAUGCGUAGAGAUUAGGAGGAACACCAGUGGCGAAGGCGACUUUCUGGACUGUAACUGACGCUGAGGUACGAAAGCGUGGGUAGCGAACA
rnacentral:rRNA from 1 species